GUGGCUUAUGUUUUGUGCGCUUGCCAGGUGGAUACUUCUCAUUGUAGGAGGCAUAGGGGAACUUUGGUAUCUCCUAUACAAACUGUAGAAGUUACAAAAACUACAAAUAGGGGAAUUAAACGAGUGAAUAACUUAAGAAACAACAAGCAAGUAGCAAUACACAGGGCACUAGCUAAGUGAAAAUGUACUUUCUUAUUUGUUCACUGGUACCAGUAAGUAAUUAUCCUAUGCAUAUGCAAUUGAGCGCUGCUACGCACACAAUGCACAGUGGACGAUUUGUGCCCGACAUAGCAUAUCAGUGCGUCCAUGCUUAUGAUGAAAGUGAAGCAGAAGGCUGGAUUAGCAUUGUGGAGCUGUCAUGCAGCCUGUUUAUCAUCCGCACAGCAGUUGUGUAUGCAAUGAGCAUAAGUUAAGUAUGGAACUACAAACUUAGGCCUUGAAGAACAUACCGCAUAAGUUAGUUGUUGUGGGCCAGCUUUUGCAAGGCUAUCAUCUCUGGUAGACCGCAUCUAGAGAUAACUGAAAAGAUGUAGACAUCUGGCAAGUGGGGAUCGGAUCCAUAAUUCAGCAAGAGAC
rnacentral:lncRNA from 1 species